AAUGUCUGGGAAACUGCCUGAUGGAGGGGGAUAACUACUGGAAACGGUAGCUAAUACCGCAUAACGUCGCAAGACCAAAGAGGGGGACCUUCGGGCCUCUUGCCAUCAGAUGUGCCCAGAUGGGAUUAGCUAGUAGGUGGGGUAAUGGCUCACCUAGGCGACGAUCCCUAGCUGGUCUGAGAGGAUGACCAGCCACACUGGAACUGAGACACGGUCCAGACUCCUACGGGAGGCAGCAGUGGGGAAUAUUGCACAAUGGGCGCAAGCCUGAUGCAGCCAUGCCGCGUGUGUGAAGAAGGCCUUCGGGUUGUAAAGCACUUUCAGCGAGGAGGAAGGUGGUGAACUUAAUACGUUCAUCAAUUGACGUUACUCGCAGAAGAAGCACCGGCUAACUCCGUGCCAGCAGCCGCGGUAAUACGGAGGGUGCAAGCGUUAAUCGGAAUUACUGGGCGUAAAGCGCACGCAGGCGGUUUGUUAAGUCAGAUGUGAAAUCCCCGGGCUCAACCUGGGAACUGCAUUU
rnacentral:rRNA from 1 species